rnacentral:rRNA from 1 species
GUUCGGUUAGUCCGGCACGAGCGCAACCCACAUCUUCAGUUGCCAUCAGGUUAUGCUGGGCACUCUGGAGAAACUGCCCGUGAUAAGCGGGAGGAAGGUGUGGAUGACGUCAAGUCCUCAUGGCCCUUACGGGUUGGGCUACACACGUGCUACAAUGGUAGUGACAAUGGGUUAAUCCCAAAAAGCUAUCUCAGUUCGGAUUGGGGUCUGCAACUCGACCCCAUGAAGUCGGAAUCGCUAGUAAUCGCGUAACAGCAUGACGCGGUGAAUACGUUCCCGGGCCUU